CAGUAGCGCGGUAAUACAGAGGGUGCGAGCGUUAAUCGGAUUUACUGGGCGUAAAGCGUGCGUAGGCGGCUUUUUAAGUCGGAUGUGAAAUCCCUGAGCUUAACUUAGGAAUUGCAUUCGAUACUGGGAAGCUAGAGUAUGGGAGAGGAUGGUAGAAUUCCAGGUGUAGCGGUGAAAUGCGUAGAGAUCUGGAGGAAUACCGAUGGCGAAGGCAGCCAUCUGGCCUAAUACUGACGCUGAGGUACGAAAGCAUGGGGAGCAAACAGGAUUAGAUACCCCCGUAGUCCCUGUCUCUUAUACA
rnacentral:rRNA from 1 species